GCCCAGAGCCCACCCUAAUCUUCCCCUAUCUCUCCGCCCUCUCUCCCUUAUCUCUUUCUCUCCCGAUCUGAGCGGCGGCGGUGGCGGCUCCCAUCCUCUUCCUCCACUCCUCUCCCUCAGAUUGAGCUCCGCCCCGAAGGAAAGGGUACGCGGCCGUCGAUCUGUGUGCGUCUAGCCAUGGAGGGCUCGCCCCUCUCGCGCGCCUCGUCCGCACGGAGCGCUAGCAGCCCACACGGCGUAGAUCCACUAUCCCUGCGUCCGCCCCACACCGGCCGCCGGUGACUGCCGCACUAUUCCAUUCCUCCCCAAGCGUGCCGCACGCGAUGGCCCAUGCUACCAUGCCGUUUUUCUGCAGCCAGACCGCCACCCCUACCCUCGCGCUCCGGGCAGAGGCUCAUUCUUCUUGGUGGUGACUACGCGUUCCUCCCGGUGGUGGCGCUCUGCCCGCUGUGUUACCUUUCUCCAAGCAGCUGUGCCCUUCGACCCCUACCUGUAAUCAAUUGAUCCGGCAACAGAGAGUUGAAGCUGCAAAGAAGCGUGAUGAGGAAAAAGCCGAAUUUAUGACUGGCAGAUUACAUGCUGGUUUCUUACUGCUUAGGUUUCGACAUUCGACAUUUGAACAAAUCAUAUACUGGAGAUUAUUAUAAUAGAAGUUCACCUAGUGUUGGAUAAAAGUUGGACAGAUCCACAUAGGUAAGUCUUAUCCAUAUAAUGCUUUUACAAUCUGCCAGUGGAACUUUAAAUGAUACGAUUUACCAAUUUCAACGAUGUAUAUUAGCAGAUUAAGUAAAAGCAGUGUUAGAUAUGAAAUGAACUUAAUUCAACCAUUCUCUAGAAGAAAGUACCUAUUUGUCAUAUGGCGAUGUUAUCUUGUAGAACAACAAUAGGGAUUUGUUAACAUUCGACCUUUAUGCUGUACUUUUUCCAUUUUGAUUCGCCUACUGUUAAUAUCCUCUUCUUCAACUGACACAUUCUUGCAAGCUAUCACAAUUGAUGAAAUAUAAUUACGAGCACUUAGCUUUUUUGAAUUUUAUAUGCAUACCAGAAGAUUUACUCGUUACAAACAUUAAACAGACGGACCUCUUUUUCAACAAGUUGUUUCAAAUCCCACUGAGACAAAAUAAAAGUGUGCUACUGCUAAUUACUAUACUGGAACAGAAUGUAUGGUUGACAUAAAGGCUAUAUUGGAAUAUUUUAGCUGUUGUGGUGUUCCUAAUAACUUAAAACUGCUGUGAAGAUGAACUGAACAAUAAUACUCUCAAAUUAGAGAGCAAGAAAUUUCGAGUUAGUCUACUGUAGGGUAAUAAAGUUCUUAUAUAUGCUGCAAAUCAGUUGCCUUGUGGUGUAAUCACUGAUGUCAUGUUUCCAUAAGUGCCUGCUGUAAUGACCUUAAUAGUGCAAAGCUAUGUUUUAUAUAAAUUUGCCUAUUCUUUCCAGAGUGCAGGGAAAUGUAUGAGGUGAAUCAAUUUUCCUAUUCUGUUGUUGCUGCUAUAUUUAGGUGUAUGUGGGUUUAAGAUUGGACACUAAUUGUUGAACUAGGAGCUUUCCCUCGUUAGGAAUAUAAGCUGAAACUUUCCCAUUGCCUUGAUUCUUUGUAGGAAAGACAUACAAGAUGACCAGGAACCAUGAAGCUCGCAGUUUGCGUUAACUGUGUAAUGGAGAGGACUAUGAAUCGCUGGACAUGUGUCUAUUAGCUAUCAUAUAUGGUGUCUUGGUCAAGUGGAUAUUCUGUGUAAUGUAAGACGCAUGAUUUGUAGGACAUAUAUCUAUUGGCUAUCAUUUUGUAAACCUAUCCGGUCUCUCGGUCACUGAACCAUAAAUGUUUCCUCUUAAUUGGCUACCUCCUCCGUUUGUGAGAAGUAAUUAAUGUGCUAUUUUUGUUUGGUUUUGGUUUAAUA